AUGAACGCUGACAGAAUGCUUAACACAUGCACGUCGCUGGGGAAGUGGUGCUUGCACCAUGGCAACCAUGGCGGACGGGUGAGUAACGCGUAAGGGACUUACCUGCAGGACUGGGAUAACAGGGGGAAACUCCUGACAAGACCGGAUAAUGUCAUGGAGCUGCAUGGCUUUAUGAUGAAAGGAGACGCCUGCGGAGAGCCUUGCGUCCUAUUAGCUAGUUGGUGAGGUAAUGGCUCACCAAGGCGAAGAUAGGUAGCCGGCCUGAGAGGGUGGACGGCCACAAGGGGACUGAGAUACGGCACUUACUCCUACGGGAGGCAGCAGUGGGGAAUAUUGGACAAUGGGGGCAACCCUGAUCCAGAAAUUCUGUGUGCACGAAGAAGGUUUUCGGAUUGUAAAGUGCUUUCAGCAGGGAAGAAGUAAGUGACGGUACCUGCAGAAGAAGCGACGGCUAAAUACGUG
rnacentral:rRNA from 1 species